ACGGGGUGCAGCAGGCGCGAAAACUUUACAAUGCUGGAAACAGCGAUAAGGGGACCUCGAGUGCCAGGUUACAAAUCUGGCUGUCGUGAUGCCUAAAAAGCAUUGCAUAGCAAGGGCCGGGCAAGACCGGUGCCAGCCGCCGCGGUAACACCGGCGGCUCGAGUGGUAACCGUUAUUAUUGGGUCUAAAGGGUCUGUAGCCGGCCGGGUAAGUCUCUUGGGAAAUCUGGCAGCUUAACUGUCAGGCUUUCAGGAGAUACUGUCUGGCUCGAGGCCGGGAGAGGUGAGAGGUACUUCAGGGGUAGGGGUGAAAUCUUGUAAUCCUUGAAGGACCACCAGUGGCGAAGGCGUCUCACCAGAACGGACCUGACGGCAAGGGACGAAAGCUAGGGGCACGAACCGGAUUAGAUACCCGGGUAGUCCUAGCCGUAAACGAUACUCGCUAGGUGUCGGCAACGGUGCGACCGUUGUCGGUGCCGUAGGGAAGCCGUGAAGCGAGCCACCUGGGAAGUACGGCCGCAAGGCUGAAACUUAAAGGAAUUGGC
rnacentral:rRNA from 1 species